AAGACAAAGACAAAGACAAAGACAGGGAGAAAGAGAAAUCAGAAGACAAAGAUAAAAUGCAGAAUGCAGAUCUGAAGUCUGGUGUUGGUACUGUGAGCCAUGGAGUGCAUGGGAAGAGUCUUGAUGCGAGUUCUAAGAAUGUCAAAGUUCAUCGAAAGCCGCCUCACAGCUUUGUAAGUGUUAUUGAGCUUCUCUUGGAUCCGGUUGUCAAGUUUGUUCCUCCUUUGAAAGAUGAACCAGCAACAAAAGAGAGCCUUGGUUCAACAGAUAUGGAGAUUGAUAUAUCCGCGAACAAGGGUAAAGGAAAAGCUAUCGCCUCUGCUUCUGAAGCAAGUGAAG
rnacentral:misc_RNA from 1 species